rnacentral:piRNA from 1 species
UGAUAUGAUACAAAUAAGUCCUGAAGUCCAU